rnacentral:rRNA from 1 species
AGGGAAUCUUCCGCAAUGGACGAAAGUCUGACGGAGCAACGCCGCGUGAGUGAUGAAGGUUUUCGGAUCGUAAAGCUCUGUUGCCAGGGAAGAACGUCUUGGAGAGUAACUGCUCUGAGAGUGACGGUACCUGAGAAGAAAGCCCCGGCUAACUACGUGCCAGCAGCCGCGGUAAUACGUAGGGGGCGAGCGUUGUCCGGAAUUAUUGGGCGUAAAGCGCGCGCAGGCGGCUGUUUAAGUCUGGUGUUUAAGCCUGGGGCUCAACCUCAGGUCGCACUGGAAACUGGACAGCUUGAGUGCAGAAGAGGAGAGUGGAAUUCCACGUGUAGCGGUGAAAUGCGUAGAGAUGUGGAGGAACACCAGUGGCGAAGGCGACUCUCUGGGCUGUAACUGACGCUGAGGCGCGAAAGCGUGGGGAGCAAAC